rnacentral:rRNA from 1 species
GAUGAACGCUGGCGGCGUGCCUAACACAUGCAAGUCGAGCGAAGCGGUUUUAAGGAAGUUUUCGGAUGGAAUUAAAACUGACUGAGCGGCGGACGGGUGAGUAACGCGUGGGUAACCUGCCUCAUACAGGGGGAUAACAGUUAGAAAUGGCUGCUAAUACCGCAUAAGCACACAGCUUCGCAUGGAGCAGUGUGAAAAACUCCGGUGGUAUGAGAUGGACCCGCGUCUGAUUAGCUAGUUGGUAAGGUAACGGCUUACCAAGGCGACGAUCAGUAGCCGACCUGAGAGGGUGACCGGCCACAUUGGGACUGAGACACGGCCCAAACUCCUACGGGAGGCAGCAGUGGGGAAUAUUGCACAAUGGGGGAAACCCUGAUGCAGCGACGCCGCGUGAGUGAAGAAGUAUCUCGGUAUGUAAAGCUCUAUCAGCAGGGAAGA